GUAUUCGUAUCCCGAUUUCAACAAAUGUUAUUGUUAAAUUUAUAUUACUUCAGUCCAGAUGACUAGGUUGUAUUCAAAUUUAUUCAGCAUCAUAAUAUUCAACCGCGCAAAUCAACAUCUAAAUUAAUACGAAGUUCCUCUCGCAGCAAAUCUUGAAUUUCAUUUACUUCUUCAUCUCGAAACGUUUUCUCCAUGGAGCGAUAUGUAAUACGAUAACAAUGACUCACUUGUUCAGUCUCUGGGUGAACAAACUCAUCUAUCAACUCAACCUGAA